CCUACGGGGGGCUGCAGUGGGGAAUAUUGGACAAUGGGCGAAAGCCUGAUCCAGCCAUGCCGCGUGUGUGAAGAAGGCCUUCGGGUUGUAAAGCACUUUCAGUGGGGAAGAAAGCCUUGGGGCUAAUACCCUCGAGGAAGGACAUCACCCACAGAAGAAGCACCGGCUAACUCCGUGCCAGCAGCCGCGGUAAUACGGAGGGUGCGAGCGUUAAUCGGAAUUACUGGGCGUAAAGCGCGCGUAGGCGGUCUGAUAAGCCGGUUGUGAAAGCCCCGGGCUCAACCCGGGAACGGCAUCCGGAACUGUCAGGCUAGAGUGCAGGAGAGGAAGGUAGAAUUCCCGGUGUAGCGGUGAAAUGCGUAGAGAUCGGGAGGAAUACCAGUGGCGAAGGCGGCCUUCUGGACUGACACUGACGCUGAGGUGCGAAAGCGUGGGUAGCAAACAGGAUUAGAUACCCUAGUAGUC
rnacentral:rRNA from 1 species